UGCGGGGUGGAGCAGUCCGGUAGCUCGUCGGGCUCAUAACCCGAAGGUCGCAGGUUCGAGUCCUGCCCCCGCUC
rnacentral:tRNA from 1 species